UUUCUUCAAUAAAUUUGUAAGCUGGCAAGAUUUACAUUCUUUGUAUAAAUAACUUAUCAAAGCUAUAAUUUUUCUCUUGUGAUUAAUGCAUUAUACAAAUGGGUACAAAAUUAAAUGGGUUUGUUGAAAUACAAAUUUUUUUGAUUUGGGAUUCAAAACAGAAGCCAUGUUGACUGUGCUAGACAACCACCAGAUAAUGAAUAUUGCUGGCAAUCACUGUUGAUGUCGUGUAUUUGUUCUUUAUUUUUUUCAUUGAUAAGUUUGUUGCUAUCAAUGGACAUCUCCUUAAAUAGGAGGUCUUGAGUUCAAAUCCUUCUCCUCUUUUCUUCCUUCACAAAAUUGUUUCAAGAAGAAGAAUAGAUCUUUGCUUAAAUAGACAUCUUUCAAGCGGAUCGUCCUAGAUAUUCACAAUGAUUUUACGCAAAGGGAAGUACCAAGAUUUGAAGUUAAAACCUUUAUGACAAUUAGGUAGUUAGUUGUUACCAAUUUAGUUUUCUGAGUACAUAAGAUAUCAAUAAAGAAACCGACAAUAUACAUAUCAUGAACCCAUAUUCUGAACUUGAAAGGAACUGACAAAAUAAG
rnacentral:misc_RNA from 1 species